rnacentral:rRNA from 1 species
GUAGGGGGCAAGCGUUGUCCGGAUUUAUUGGGCGUAAAGCGCGUGUAGGCGGCCAGGUAGGUCGGCUGUGAAAACUCGAGGCUCAACCUCGAGAUGUCGGCCGAAACCAUCUGGCUAGAGUCCGGAAGAGGAGAGUGGAAUUCCCGGUGUAGCGGUGAAAUGCGCAGAUAUCGGGAAGAACACCCGUGGCGAAGGCGGCUCUCUGGGACGGUACUGACGCUGAGACGCGAAAGCGUGGGGAGCGAACAGGAUUAGAUACCCUGGUAGUCCACGCCGUAAACGAUGGGAACUAGGUGUGGGCGGUGUCGACUCCGUCCGUGCCGAAGCUAACGCAUUAAGUUCCCCGCCUGGGGAGUACGGCCGCAAGGCUAAA